rnacentral:rRNA from 1 species
UACGUAGGGGGCAAGCGUUAUCCGGAUUUACUGGGUGUAAAGGGAGCGUAGACGGCAAUGCAAGUCUGGAGUGAAAAUCCGGGGCUCAACCCCGGAACUGCUUUGGAAACUGUGUAGCUAGAGUGCAGGAGAGGUAAGCGGAAUUCCUAGUGUAGCGGUGAAAUGCGUAGAUAUUAGGAGGAACACCGGUGGCGAAGGCGGCUUACUGGACUGUAACUGACGUUGAGGCUCGAAAGCGUGGGGAGCAAACAGG